CCUACGUGAGGCAGCAGUAGGGAAUUUUGCGCAAUGGGGGAAACCCUGACGCAGCAACGCCGCGUGAUCGAUGAAGCCCUUCGGGGUGUAAAGAGCUGUCAGUGGGGACGAAACCUGACGGUACCCACAGAGGAAGCACCGGCUAACUCCGGUCCAGCAGCGGAGGUAAAACGUGGGGUGCAAGCCGUGUCCGGAAUCAUUUGGCGUAAAGAGUUCGUAGGUGGCACGGUAAAUCUGGUGGUAAAUGCGGAUGGUCAACUUCCGUAGGGCACUGGAUACUGGCGAGCUUGAAUUAGGUAGAGGUAAGGGGAAUUCCAGGUGAAGCGGUGAAAUGCGUAGAUAUAAGGAGGAACAUCGAUGGCGUAAGCACUUUACUGGGCCGUAAUUGACGCUGAGGAACGAAAGCCGGGGUAGCAAAUGGGAUUAGAUACCCCUGUAGUC
rnacentral:rRNA from 1 species